GUGGCCGUAGCUCAGCUGGUAGAGCCCUCGCCUGUGGAGCGAGUUGUCGCGGGUUCGAGUCCCGCCGGUCACC
rnacentral:tRNA from 1 species